AGAGUUUGAUCCUGGCUCAGAACGAACGCUGGCGGCGUGGAUAAGACAUGCAAGUCGAACGCUAAUCACACUGCAGCAAUGUAGUGUGGUUGGAGUGGCGCAAGGGUGCGUAACACGUGGGUAAUUUGCCGUGAAGACUGGGAUAACUUGCUGAAAGGCGAGCUAAUACCGGAUGUGGUCAUUGAGAGGCAUCUUUUGAUGACUGAAGUUGGGGACCGCAAGGCCUGACACUUCACGAUAAGCCCGCGGCCUAUCAGCUAGUUGGUGAGGUAACGGCUCACCAAGGCAAAGACGGGUAGCUGGUCUGAGAGGACGACCAGCCACACUGGAACUGAGACACGGUCCAGACACCUACGGGUGGCAGCAGUCGAGAAUUUUUCUCAAUGGGCGAAAGCCUGA
rnacentral:rRNA from 1 species